AGCAGCUGAUGCAGAGGCGUCAAGAUGAGCUGAUGCAAAUGCAGCAACAACGGCAGCAGCAGCAGCAGCAGCAGCAGCAGCAGCAGCAGCAGCAGCAGUAGUUCUUCUGCUCCUGCAUCGUCUUCACACAAAAUGACCAUGGCGC
rnacentral:ribozyme from 1 species